GUGAUGACGGCAAGGGUGGACGAUGCGGCCCGAAUCCUUAACCGGAUAAGCCGGAGAAUCAC
rnacentral:ncRNA from 1 species